GAUGAACGCUAGCGGGAGGCUUAAUACAUGCAAGUCGAGGGGUAACAGUGGAGCUUGCUCCAGCUGACGACCGGCGAACGGGUGAGUAACGCGUACGGAAUCUACCUAUUACAGGGGGAUAGCCUUGGGAAACUGAGAUUAAUACCCCAUAGUAUUACGGGAUCGCAUGAUCUUGUAAUUAAAACUCCGGUGGUAAUAGAUGAUCGUGCGUCUUAUUAGCUAGUUGGUGAGGUAAUGGCUCACCAAGGCGACGAUAAGUAGGGGGCGUGAGAGCGUGAUCCCCCACACGGGUACUGAGACACGGACCCGACUCCUACGGGAGGCAGCAGUAAGGAAUAUUGGACAAUGGCCGAAAGGCUGAUCCAGCCAUCCCGCGUGCAGGAUGACGGCCCUAUGGGUUGUAAACUGCUUUUAUUUGGGAAGAAAAGCGCUGAUUUAUCAGCGUCUGACGGUACCUUAUGAAUAAGCACCGGCUAACUCCG
rnacentral:rRNA from 1 species